rnacentral:rRNA from 1 species
AGUGAACGCUGGCGGUAGGCCUAACACAUGCAAGUCGAACGGCAGCACAGUAAGAGCUUGCUCUUACGGGUGGCGAGUGGCGGACGGGUGAGGAAUACAUCGGAAUCUACUUUUUCGUGGGGGAUAACGUAGGGAAACUUACGCUAAUACCGCAUACGACCUACGGGUGAAAGCAGGGGAUCUUCGGACCUUGCGCGAUUGAUUGAGCCGAUGUCGGAUUGGCUAGUUGGCGGGGUAAAGGCCCACCAAGGCGACGCUCCGUAGCUGGUCUGAGAGGAUGAUCAGCAACACUGGAACUGAGACACGGUCCAGACUCCUACGGGAGGCAGCAGUGGGGAAUAUUGGACAAUGGGCGCAAGCCUGAUCCAGCCAUACCGCGUGGGUGAAGAAGGCCUUCGGGUUGUAAAGCCCUUUUGUUGGGAAAGAAAAGCAGCAGGUUAAUACCCCGCUGUUCUGACGGUACCCAAAGAAUAAGCACCGGCUAACUUCGU